GGAACGGAGCGCCGCCGGCCGGGUUGCAGGCGGGGCACCUCGGGCAGGACCUCCCUGGUCAGAAGUGGCCGUGAGCCCGAGCCGCGGUCCCGGGCCGGCACCCAGGAUGGGCGAGGUGGAGGCCCCAGGCCGUUUGUGGCUCGAGAGCCCCCCUGGGGGAGCGCCCCCUAUCUUCCUGCCCUCGGACGGGCAAGCUCUGGUCCUGGGCAGGGGACCCCUGACCCAGGUCACGGACCGGAAGUGCUCCAGAACUCAAGCCUGCAGCAGGCCACACUCCCCAGAAAUGAGGGAACCAAUCACACAAGGAUGCAAAUCCUGACUCCACCCCUCCAAUCCUCAGUGGAGCUGGUCGCAGAUCCUGAAACCCGGACAGUGGCAGUGAAACAGGUAUCAGUGCCUCUGCAAGGGGCGGCAAGGCCUGGGGAUGGGAUUUGGGGAGGAAUUGCAAGCCAUCAGUGAGGGGGUACAUUAGGAAAAUCUGAUUGGGGCCGGGCGUGGUGGCUCAAGCCUGUAAUCCCAGCACUUUGGGAGGCCGAGGCGGGCGGAUCGCUUGAACCCAGGAGUUCGAGACCAGCCUGAGCGACAUGGUGAAACCUGUCUCUAUAAAAAAUUAGCGGGAAUGGUGGCGCGUCCUUGUAGUUCCAACUA
rnacentral:sRNA from 1 species